CGCGAUAUUUUAUAUUUACCAGAAAUGUACAACUGUCGCCUGUCUGCAUUUUUAGCAGGGUACAGCUUGUGUGACAAGUUCGGAUAUCAGUCAGACCAAUGAAGGCAAAAUGUCAAGAAGAAGCUCUUCUUUUACUUCGCCUACUUCUUCUUCGCUGUGUAAUCCUGUUCCAAGUCACGGGCAGUUCAUGAAGCUCUUCUCCGCUGCUUUGUACGCAGUCAGUUCUUUUCUUAUAGUGGUUGUCAACAAGACAGUUUUAACAGCCUAUAGGUUUCCCUCAUACACCUUCCUUGGAAUUGGACAGAUGGCAUGCACAAUUGUCAUUCUUUAUUUGGCCAAAAUGUGCAAAGCAGUCUCUUUUCAGGACUUUGAUAGGAGCUUAUACAGAAAGAUUUUUCCUUUGCCAUUACUCUAUGCCGGCAAUCACAUAACAGGUCUGGGAAGCACAAAGAAGUUAAGCUUACCCAUGUUUACUGUGCUCCGAAAAUUCACUAUUCUACUGACAAUGAUCAUGGAAGCGAAAAUAUUGAGAAAAUCCUUUUCACCUCAGCUGGCUUGCAGUGUGAUCGCCAUUGUGUUUGGCGCAUUGAUUGCUGCAAGUUCUGACCUGGCUUUUGAUACAGAGGGAUAUGCUUUUGUUCUGCUCAACGAUGUCUUCACAGCUGCCAAUGGCGUGUAUACAAAGCAGAAAAUGGGAGUAGAGGGCCUGGGCAAGUUCGGCGUUUUGUUCUACAAUGCAUUUAUCAUCAUAAUUCCUACUAUUUUAGCAAGUGCCUACACUGGAGAUUUAGAGAAGGCCAUUGCUUUUAAAGGAUGGGUAUCACUGGGGUUCAUCGUUUAUUUUCUUGUGUCUUGUAUUAUGGGAUUCAUUUUGAUGUACUCUAUAGUUCUAUGCAGUCAUCACAACAGUGCCUUAACCACUACAGUUAUUGGUGCCAUUAAGAAUGUUGCCGUAGCCUACAUUGGUAUGUUCGUUGGAGGAGACUAUGAAUUUUCCUGGCCAAACUUUGUAGGGCUGAAUAUAUGUAUUUCUGGUGGCCUGGUCUAUUCAUACUUGACGUUUCAUAGCAGCAGUACCUCCUCACCACACAUAGCAAACCAAGAGGAGGAAGAACUGAGCCAUGUCAUCGAGGAGCCCCAUAAUAACUCUGAGAAAAGACAAUUCUAAUGUACAGUAUACCUAAAGUCUACAUUUGCAGUAUAUUUUUAUACCUGUAUUUUAUUAAAGCUGCAAAUUGUGACUUUAGAUUUUUACGUGACACAAUAUUUGGACUCAACUUUGUAGAACAUUGCAUUUGAGACAGUGACUGAGGUUAAUAAUGUGCUAAAUGUCAUCUUUGAGGGCAUGUGUGCUUAUUUGUUCAGUCGUGCAAUAAAAACAGCCCUUUUAAAAAAAACAAGGUUUGUGGCAUGGUAUGCAUGCAGUGGGCAUCAGUCUGGUUGGCAAACACCAGCUUAGUCAGUGAGAGUACAUUUGCUGUUCUCUGUCCACUUUUGGCUUCUGGCUAAAUUUCCUCGUUAGAUAUUUUAUGCAUACCAGUGCCUUGUGCAGUGCAUUGUACCUCCAUAAUAUUUCAUGUGUGUGAGAUCUGCUGUCAAAGACUUUUAAAGCACGUUCAGUCAUAUACAGUAUGUAAGACAUGUAAUGGUCGUUAAGGCCUUUAAUCCAUAAAAUUCAGGCUUCAAGUCUUCAUUCACAAAAAUAUUUGGACUUUAAAGGCAUAUGGACGGAAAAGUGGGUGUGCAUCGCUUACCUGGGGAAAAGAUGUCACCAGGAUGCACUAUGGGAAGAAGGCAAGCCGGGGGAGGAAGUGUGAUGCUCUGGGCAAUGUUCUGCUGGGAAACCUUGGGUCCUGGUAUUCAUGUGGAUGUUACUUUGGCUCAUAUCACCUACCAAAACAUUGUUGCAGACCAAGUACACCCCUUUAUGGCAACGGUAUUCCCUAAUGGCGGUGGCCUCUUUCAGCAGGAUAAUGCACCAUGCCACAGUGCAGAAAUUGGUCAGGAAUGGUUUGAGGAACAUGUUUUAAAUUCCCCAGAUCUCAAUCAGAUCCAAUCGAGCAUCUGUGGGAUGUGCUGGGCAAACAAGUCCGAUCCAUGGAGGCCCCACCUCACAACCUUCAGGACUUAAAGGACCUGCCGUUAAGGUCUUGGUGCUAGAUACCACAGCACACCUUCAGAGGUGUUUCAGUGGCAGAAGGGGGACCUAAACCAAUAUUAGGCAGGUGGGUUUUUUUUUUAAUUAUUAUUUUUUUUUUUUUAGGGCUGAUCAGUGUAUAUCCCUAACUACACUUUAAUUAUAACUAAAUGCUACAAAAAGUCUUAUUUUCUGCCUGAUCAGAACUGUGUGGAUGUGUCAGACCACAUACACAGGGGCAUCUCCCCAGCAAUAUAAACACUUCUUGGAAUGCUAGAAAAGCAUGUAGAAAGCAAGUCUUUGUGUGGUCUAUUCAUGUAUUUGGUACAAAUUUGCAAUGGCACCGCAUUUGUGUAAAUCAGGUUUGUGUGCACUCUGCUGCUACUUCCUCCUUCCAGCUAGUUUAAGCACAUACAGAGAAAAGGCAGUGCAGUGUGCAGAAGCACUCGCAUAUCACAUCUGGUUUAAUCAAAUAGAUUAAAAUGAGCUUUACUGUC